rnacentral:rRNA from 1 species
GAUAAACGCUGGCGGCGUGCUUAACACAUGCAAGUCGAACGAAGUUUUUCUUUCGGGAGGAACUUAGUGGCGGACGGGUGAGUAACGCGUGGGUAACCUGCCCUGUACAGGGGGACAACAGCUGGAAACGGCUGCUAAUACCGCAUAAGCCCUUAGCACUGCAUGGUGCAUAGGGAAAAGGAGCAAUCCGGUACAGGAUGGACCCGCGUCUGAUUAGCUGGUUGGCAGGGUAACGGCCUACCAAAGCGACGAUCAGUAGCCGAUCUGAGAGGAUGUACGGCCACAUUGGGACUGAGACACGGACCAGACUCCUACGGGAGGCAGGAGUGGGGAAUAUUGCACAAUGGAGGAAACUCUGAUGCAGCGACGCCGCGUGAGUGAAGAAGUAUUUCGGUAUGUAAAGCUCUAUCAGAAGGAAAGAAAAUGACGGUACCUGACGAAGAAGCACCGGCUAAAUACGUG